rnacentral:tRNA from 1 species
GGAGAGUUGUCCGAGUUGGCCGAAGGAGCACGCCUGGAAAGUGUGUAGGCGCCACAAGCGUCUCGAGGUUCGAAUCCUCACUCUCCG